GACGAACCGUGCGAACGUUGUUCGGAUUCACUGGGCUUAAAGGGUGCGUAGGCGGGCGAUCCAGUCGGGGGUGAAAGUUUUCGGCUCAACCGGAAAAGGGCCUCUGAUACGGGUCGUCUCGAGGGAGGUAGGGGCAUGCGGAACUUCCGGUGGAGCGGUGAAAUGCGUAGAUAUCGGAAGGAACGCCGGUGGCGAAAGCGGCGUGCUGGACCUCUUCUGACGCUGAGGUACGAAAGCUAGGGUAGCGAACGGG
rnacentral:rRNA from 1 species